GAUGAAUAACGUAGCGAAAUGCGAUAAGUAAUGUGAAUUGCAGAAUUUAGUGAAUCAUCGAAUCUUUGAACGCAUAUUGCGCCCGCCAGCACUCUGGCGGGCAUGCCUGUUCGAGCGUCAUUUCAACCCUCAGGCCUCGCGUCUGGCGUUGGGGCGCUGCGGCCCUCCCGCAGGCCCCCAAAUUUAGCGGCGGAUUCCCCGCGGCCCUGAGCGCAGUAGAGAGUAAAAACUUUAACGCUCCGGCGGCCGUGGCGCGGUUCUGCCUCUUUCCCAAUAGCGCCAAUAGCGCCACCCCCAAAAAAGUUGACCUCGGAUCAGGUAGGACUACCCGCUGAACUUAAGCAUAUCAAUAAGCGGAGGA
rnacentral:misc_RNA from 1 species